GAACCCACAUCUACCAUGAAUGAAUAAAUGGCGACCUGGAAGCAUACUUCUGGUAGCAAUGGGGACACGGGUCAAAGGGGACUUGAGGUUAUCAGCUUUCAGAAUGAAGACACAUAAUCCCUAUUAGAGUGGAAGACUUAAAAUCGAGUUUGAGACCCACCUUCUGAAACUGCAGGCUCUUGGGAGCCUGAUUUCCGGUGAAGAGUGUUGCUGCUUUGCAUUUUUCACACUUGAACACAGUGAAGAAGAUGAACAUUAAUUAGGAUUAUAGUGCCAUGGAGGCUUACUGUGCUGUGAGAACUCACAAGAAAUAAAAUGCCAUUUCUUUUUUUGGA
rnacentral:lncRNA from 1 species